rnacentral:lncRNA from 1 species
ACAUAGGAAUCAUCUAUCACACUGAGCCAACUCCAUUACUAGAUCCAUCCAUUGCAUCAAUUAACUCAAGAUUACACAUAUCACCACCACAUUGUACAAGGCAUUGGGCAUGAUUGUUACAUUACUCUAAACCAACUUUAAACAACCGUAAACACAACAAAUAAAGAACAUAAAUAAAACAACUAAAUAAACAUAAGAAACUUGCACCAAACUUCCCCUCCACCCCUAAAGUAAGCAUUGUCCUUAAUGAUUAAGGUAAAGAAAUAGAAUACUCUCCUAAGGAAAUGUGAAGAGGCGUGGCCAAGAGAAGAUUGAGUGAGUAAAACACACGAUCUAGAAAACCUAAGAAAGACACAAACAAAUGAGAAAUGAAUAAGAAACACAACCAAAAAUGCCCAAAUAGAGAAAAGAAAUGAAGAGAAAAAUAAAAAAAAAAGAAGAAAGAAAGUAAAAGGGUCAUGGUUGAGGAAGAGGCUACCAUUUUCUACUCCACUCACCAAACUGAGACUCCAAACGCUGCAUCUGAGUAUCACAAGUAGUCAUGCGCCCUUCCAAACUAUGCAAAACCUGACUAUUGGCUUGAACAUUAAGGCGUGGACUCUGCAACAUACCCAUCAUGGCAUGAAUUGACGAGGAAGAAACACCAAAACUACUUGCUAGCAGGAUCAUGAAGGCGAGUAUUAAGAGCUGCUUGAUCAUCAUCAUCAAACUCAUGAAUAUCAUCGAAAUUCGUGGAGUGAACCCCUACCACUAUAGGCAAUCGACCUGGAAUGACAUCCAUCUUAUCAAUAAAAUACAUAUCACUAAAGCAAAGGGCAUGCUUGCUAAUCACCCUAGGCAGGAUACUGUGGCAAAUGAAGUAAAACAAAAGGCAUCUCUUAACAUUGAGAACCAUAGCCGUAUAGGCCUAUCUACCAAUUUGUCUAAUGUGAUAGUUUGAGCCUAUGUAUAGCUUAUAAGGCAUCCCAAUUGACAUCAUUCAAGACUUUUCAUUACAAAAUCAGGGCCAAUGUUGGACACCUGUAGCCAAUCAGCUAAACAAUCUCGAGUAACCUCUAUUCGAACACCUUUCACAUAACUCUCAAUGAAGCGAGAGUCUCAGGAUUGCUUAUCAACAACAUUAGCAUAAAAUUGUUGCACUGGCUAAGGAUAAUAGAUAAGUAGCAAAUCUAGAAUAGGUUCCCACCCUAAAGAUCGAAAAGAUCCCCUAAGAUGAAAGUUUCCUCAAUCUCAUGGCCUAGGGUCUUUCUUGCCAUCAUUUUGUUACCAAUGUGGGCAUUAUACCAUUGCUCAUAUUCCUUAUUCAAGAAUAAAAAAUUGUCAAAUUGAGGAACCCUACUACUCCUAGUACUUUUGUACGGAAUACGUGUAUAACUAGAUUUUCUACGUCAUGAGGACAUAUUUUAAGCAAAGCAUGCAACUAAUAUUACUCAAGCAGCCAAAGCACUAAAGCAGACAAGCUAGGCAGUCCACUACUCACCCAAUUGGCUCAAACAAAAAAUCAAAUUAAGUGAAAUUAAUGGAUAAAAUCAAGUUAAUAACUGAUAAUAACAUCACCAAACAUAGUGGAAUUACUUAAAAGCACAACAAAUAUACGAGAAUCGAAGAGUUAGGGCUAGCCACAUAGCUCUUGUCCAUACCUGGAGCCUUUGUCAUGUGUUAUUUCUAAAUUUGAACCCUUGGUCAGCGUGAAAGAGAAGAAACACAAAAGAGUUUUCGCUUAUUGGGGAGAAUAAAGGAGAGCUGAAAGUGGGAGAGGAUUGAGAGAGUGAGAACUAACAAAACCCAAAGGAAAGUGAAAGAAAGAAGAACUAAUAAGG